AAUUUACAGAUAUGUACCUGAUAUUGGAAGCAAAAGAAAAUGAAGAUGAGAAUCAACAGCAGUAAUAACAGUACAACAGCAACAACUGCCCAGCAACAGUAACAACCCAGUAACAGACCGGUGGAGUAGUAAUCUCAAAAACAAAAGCUUUAAGCUUUGAAUGAAACAACAACCAUUGACACUAAUUUCAAACAAAGAAAGAAAGCAGAAGAUUUUUUUAGUUUUUAUUUUUAUUUUGAAAGCUUAAAUAUUUUUCGGAAUUUUUCUUUCUCUUAAAUGUUCAGCCUUUUAUUUUUCUCUCUUCUAUUCUCUGUCCGUUUUUUUUUUCUCUCUAUCUGUCCCUUAUCAAUCUGAUUUCAAGACUUCAUAUAUAUAACCCAUCCCAUAAAUCUUUCAAUUAAUUAAAUUCAAUACUUUUUCUCUACCAAACCCAUUAUCUUCCCACUCAUCCCCAUUACAUUAAAUAAACAUAUCACACCACCCCAUUAUAUUUUGUCCCCCAUGCCUAACAUAAAAUAAUGUAAGAUUCCCCCCACUAAAUUUUGUCUUGUCCCCCUUUUAUAUUAAAUAACCAUAUCACAACCCACCCCAUUUUAUUUUGUCCUCCAUGCUUCAUAUAAACAAUUAUAAAAUAUACAAUUCCUAAACUGCCCCUCCGACCCUAUUGCAAAUUACUAUUUUACCCCUGAAAGUACUAUAAAUUACCAAACUACCCAUCAGCUAUAACACAUCAAUUAAUCAAACUUAACCAAAAUAUAGACAAUAUGAUUAAUUUCUAACAAUGUUCAAACAACAAAUUUCAUGAACAUGAUUUCUUCAACAUUUCAACAACAAAGCACAUGAACAUGAUUUCAACAACAUUUCAACAACAAAGCACAUGAACAUGAUUUCAACAACAUUUCAACAACAAAUCACAUGAACACAAAUUGAACAACAAAGAACAACUAAAAUUUGAUUAAACAAUAUUUUAGCAACAAACAAUUCUAUUUUUCGGAUUCAACAAUAACAACAAACAAAGUAUGAAGAUUUCUAAAUUCAAUCAUAUUGAACUUAAAAUCAACUCUAACAACAUUACAACCAACAAUUCCUAUAUUAAACUUAAACAACAAGAUUAUGAGACAAAUUCAAGAAAUAAUCAUAAAUGAUAAACAAGAAAUCAAACUAUACAAAUUUCGGAUUCAAGAUCAUCCAAACAAAGUAUGAACAUGAAUGAAUCUAUUUUAACACAACAAACAUGACGGAUUAAAACGAUUAAACCAACAUAUUUCUCUAAACACAACUAAAUUCUUUUUAGACAAAUAACAAGCUCGACGAAUAAACAAUUAUGAACUUAAGCUUGAACUUAACAAUAUUAACAAUUUCUAACAAUACAUAAACACAUGAAACAAAUUGAAGAAAUAGUUAAUUAAAUUUCAAUUUGAAUCUAACAAAUAUCAAACUAACAAAUAUUCACUUAAACAAUAAUACAAACAUGAAAUGAAUAUGAAAAUAACUAAUUAAACUUCUAUUUUGAAAUCUGAAAAUUAAUUUUAACAAAGCACAUGAACAUGAACAAACUAGAAAAAUGAUUUCAACGAUGAACAACGAACAAAACAAUAAUUGAAUUCUUUAACGAUUUUGGAUCCGGAAAAUAUCAAACAAAAAUAUGGACAAAAAUAAAACUCAAAUACAACUAACCGGAGAUGAAUCAACGACGAACUUUGAUUGUAAACAAAUCUGUCCGAGAACGAAUCUCGCACCAAGAUAACUUGACGCCGAAGACGACUACAAACGGACGACCAAAGAAGGUGGUCGUUUGGCAUCGUUUAAAAACGAACAAUGGCAUCCCGCCACAAGCAGAAGGUAGCAGCAGCAACACUGCUGGAGCAGCAACACGGAACAGUAGCAGCAGCAGUGUCGGAGAAGAUGCAACGGCAGC
rnacentral:lncRNA from 1 species